rnacentral:snRNA from 1 species
UUGCUUCAGUGGUGAGUAUGCUUAAACUGGAACAAUAUAUAGAAGAUCAGCAUAGCUUUUUGUCAAGAUAAUAAGAAAGUUCACGACAUGGUCCAGAUUUUU